rnacentral:rRNA from 1 species
AAAUUGAAGAGUUUGAUCAUGGCUCAGAUUGAACGCUGGCGGCAGGCCUAACACAUGCAAGUCGAACGGUAGCACAGAGAGCUUGCUCUCGGGUGACGAGUGGCGGACGGGUGAGUAAUGUCUGGGAAACUGCCCGAUGGAGGGGGAUAACUACUGGAAACGGUAGCUAAUACCGCAUAACGUCGCAAGACCAAAGUGGGGGACCUUCGGGCCUCACACCAUCGGAUGUGCCCAGAUGGGAUUAGCUAGUAGGUGGGGUAACGGCUCACCUAGGCGACGAUCCCUAGCUGGUCUGAGAGGAUGACCAGCCACACUGGAACUGAGACACGGUCCAGACUCCUACGGGAGGCAGCAGUGGGGAAUAUUGCACAAUGGGCGCAAGCCUGAUGCAGCCAUGCCGCGUGUAUGAAGAAGGCCUUCGGGUUGUAAAGUACUUUCAGCGAGGAGGAAGGCGUUGUGGUUAAUAACCACAGCGAUUGACGUUACCCGCAGAAGAAGCACCGGCUAACUCCGUGCCAGCAGCCGCGGUAAUACGGAGGGUGCAAGCGUUAAUCGGAAUUACUGGGCGUAAAGCGCACGCAGGCGGUUUGUUAAGUCAGAUGUGAAAUCCCCGGGCUCAACCUGGGAACUGCAUUUGAAACUGGCAAGCUUGAGUCUCGUAGAGGGGGGUAGAAUUCCAGGUGUAGCGGUGAAAUGCGUAGAGAUCUGGAGGAAUACCGGUGGCGAAGGCGGCCCCCUGGACAAAGACUGACGCUCAGGUGCGAAAGCGUGGGGAGCAAACAGGAUUAGAUACCCUGGUAGUCCACGCCGUAAACGAUGUCUACUUGGAGGUUGUGCCCUUGAGGCGUGGCUUCCGGAGCUAACGCGUUAAGUAGACCGCCUGGGGAGUACGGCCGCAAGGUUAAAACUCAAAUGAAUUGACGGGGGCCCGCACAAGCGGUGGAGCAUGUGGUUUAAUUCGAUGCAACGCGAAGAACCUUACCUGGUCUUGACAUCCACGGAAGUUUUCAGAGAUGAGAAUGUGCCUUCGGGAACCGUGAGACAGGUGCUGCAUGGCUGUCGUCAGCUCGUGUUGUGA